UGUAGGGCAGCCUACAUAACCAAGAAAGAUC
rnacentral:piRNA from 1 species